CGCCAUACAAAAUCAUAAAUUUUCUCCAGGUAUCGACAAAACACGUGGAAAACAACAACACAAAAUAUUUUGAGUUGGUAUAGCCGGUUUGAGUUGAAAGCGCGCAACUGCAUAUAUACGACCUGGUUAACAUCAGUCCCUGACAAAAAAGUCAAUUUGACCAACAUCAAAAAUCCAAUGUAAGAGAUAAAAAAAGGAAAGCGAUACUUUUAUCAAAUUGACACAAGGGACUGGUGCGUGUUAAAUGUUGUAUAGUAAGAAACAGAGACUAUUGUGUAACGACUGCUGGAAAGUACUUGGGAAAUUCCAGCAAAACGUUAAACUGUUGAAUGCACAAAUAAAAGUUUGAUGUGCAGAUGUAAAGGCUACUGAAGGAUGAACGGAAACGGAGACAGAAUAACAAAUCACUGGAACGGAACGGAUUUAUAUCCGGCCAAGGACUGUCACUUCAGCGGCAUUCCCCUAACA